rnacentral:lncRNA from 1 species
CUUGGCGUUUAGCUUGGUUUAGUUUCAUCAAUACGGAGGAAGGACACCUGAACGAUGAUGUCGUGACGUCAUCAUGAAAAAAGUAAGUCAGUGAUGUAUACCUCAUGCAAUUAUCCCAUUUACUGUAUUAUAAUCUUAAGAUUUUUUCUCGAGAAAAAGUACUCUUAAGCUUUUGUAGGGAAAUGUUUUUAUAGGCAAAUAACAACUAAAUGACCCAUGAGAUGGUCGUCGAUGUACAACUCCACAGCUCCUUCGAGACAUCAACUCAGACGCUUCAUGUAAACAUGCUUUGGAUGGAAAAACCUGGUUCCAAAUGGAACACUGGCUGUAAUUUUCCUGCAGAAUUGGAGUAACUAAUGCAAAGUCAGAAAAUGGAACAAGGUAAAGAACUCAAGAAUGUAAAUGUCCAUUAUUACUUUGAGUUGGUCAUACCUUGAACUACUAAGUAGUGUUUCAUUAAACACCGUUGUAUUAAACCAAUAAGGCCUAUAAGAACAAUUCUGUAUGAGAUCUCAUGUUUUCUAUAAAAUACAAAUAUUAACUCAAGAUUAGCAAUUACAGUAUUCUGUAAAAGAUACGCAACUCAUGCUAAGAUAGCUUCUCCACGAGAACACACCUACUUAGGAUGAAGGGUGUGGUAGUUACAAUUAGUCUACAAAUUUUCCAACACUAGAUGUUAUUAAGGUCCCCUCUACAUGCUUCAUUCCAAGCAUACAUGACAAAUGCUUAUGCAAAAAUACAAGAGAAGAUCCACAUUUGACACAUAGUUGUGAAGCCGGAUUAUUUGAAACAUGCCUUUGCUGACUAUUUUGCAACCACUGAGAACCUUUUUUUUACUAAGAACAAUGAUAAAAGCAAUAAAAACAGGGUCAUAUCUGAAGGCACCUUUGCACUGGCUUUUGUUUUCUCCAAAAGAUCUAAGAGAGUGGUGGGAGAUGAUGGAUAAGUCUUUGUGGCUGGUCUUUGUGGGGCUGCAGCACAUGGUCUUUUGCGUCCUUGUGGCUGCUGGUUUGACUAGCUCUAGCAUCAUCUUAGCUUUAACAUCUUAGACUAGCAUCUUAGACUAGCUAGCAUCAGCUUAGCUUUAGCAUCUUAGACUAGCAUCUAGCAUAUGCUUGGCUGCCUGCAGCUCCUAUAAAUAUGUAUCCCCAACCCCUUAGGUUGGUAUGGCAUUGUGUGAGAAAUAAAUCAGAAAACCCCUGGUUGUUUCUCUCCCUCCGCUCAGUCGAGCAACAGCUCGUCAGCAGUAGCUCUCUCUUCAUGCUGCAGUCCCCCAGCGGCGAGCCAUGUCCGCAGGCCACUCUCAGCACUCGGUUACCUCGAGCACGCGGCAUCGGCAAGAGGCCGAGCUCGCCGCGGAGCGUGAUCGAGCGGCGGCAGCAAGGGUGUCAAGGCUGGCAGCAGAGCUGGCAGCAGCCAGAGCGGAGGUAGAAGCAGCGGCGGCGGCGGAUGCCGCACGUGAGGCGGUGGCGGAGGUCGAGGAAUUGCGCGGCAGCGCCAACAGCUCCGUUUCUGGAGACGGCAGCGCCGACGCAAACCGCGAUGAUGCAGCGUAGCGGGCGGUGCAGUGGGCAGCCGAGCACGCCUAGGGUGGUGCUCCCGGAGGAGGUGUGCAUGUCGAUGGUGCUCCCGGAGGAGGCACGCACGACGGUGGCGUUCCUAGAGGAGGCGCGCACGGCAGCGGCGACUGGGACGACCAAAACCGCGGCCUCUAUGGGGUCCGAACAGUGGUCAGGGACGUUGGUCCCGGUGUUGGGUGGCCCACCCUCACCAAAACCAACUACGUCGAGUGGGCCGCGAUCAUGAGGAUCAGGCUCCAGGUGCGGCACAUGUGGGAGGCGAUCCAGUAUGGCGACGUCGACCAGCAUGAGGAUCGACGGGCGCUGGAUGCCCUCAUCGCCGCAGUCCCGCCUGAGAUGCAGUUCUCGCUUUCCAACAAGCGGACUACCAAGGAGGCUUGGAACGCCAUCGCCGCGGCAAGCAUCGGCAGCGACCGCGCUCGCAAGUCCACGCUGCAGGCACUUCGCAAGGAGUGGGAGAACCUGGCCUUCCAGCCAGGUGAAGACGUUGAUGACUUUGCUCUCCGUCUCAAUACUCUGCUGUAGAAGAUGGUGCAGUUCGGCGAUGACACCUACGACGAAGAGAGAGCUGUCGAGAAGCUCUUUCGCUGCAUCCCCGAGAAGUAAAAGCAAAUGGCUCGCUCGAUCGAAUCUCUGCUAGACCUCUCCACGAUGUCGAUCAAGGAGGCGAUAGGUCGCCUCAAGGUCGUCGACACCGACGAGCCACAGCCUCUCUCGGGGCCCAUCACUACUGGCGGGAAGUUAUUACUCACUCGGGAGCAGUGGGAUGCCUGCAACGGUGACAGGAAGAAGGGGGAGUCCUCUUCCACGACAAGCGGCCGUAAGCGUGGCAAACCGCGCACGGCGCACGGAGGCGCCCGGACCAGGGGGCAAGGACGUGCCGAAGGUGAUGCCCACGGAGGCGCCCGGGAAGGCCCCGCCGGCAGGCACAGACCGGCACAAGACGACACCUGCCACAACUGUGGCCAGCUUGGCCAUUGGGCCAAGGACCGUCGACAGCCACGACGCGGCAAGGCCCACGUCGCACAGGCGGAGGAGGAGGAGCCGGCUCUAUUUUUGGCGCAUGCCAGCAUCGAGCUACCUCCAGCGACACCGGCCGCAACGGCUCUCCUCCACCUAGACGAGCCCAAAGCACACGCCCUUCUCGGCGACGGCUCCGGCAACGACAAGAUUGGUGGGUGGUGCCUCGACACCGGCGCCACCCAUCACAUGACCGGUCGACGGGAGUUCUUCGCCGAGCUUGACUCCGUCGUGUGAGGCUCCGUCAAGUUUGGGGAUGCCUCCGCCAUGGAGAUUAAGGGAGUCGGCUCCGUCAUCUUCACCGCCAAGACUGGAGAGCACAGGCUGCUCACCGGUGUCUACUACAUCCCCGCGCUGAGGAACUCCAUCAUCAGCCUGGGACAGCUGGACGAGAAUGGCUCGCGCGUGCUGAUCGAGCAUGGGAUCCUACGCAUCUGGGAUCACCAUCAUCGCCUUCUUGCCAAGGUAUAGAGAGGUGCAAAUCGGCUCUACGUUCUUAACGUAUAGGUGGCACAACACCUCUGUCUCGCUGCUCGUCGGGACGACGAGGCGUGGCAGUGGCACGAGCGCUUCAGGCAUAUACACUUUGAGGCCCUGGAGCGGCUCAGUGCCACGGAGAUGGUGCGAGGCCUGUCGUGCCUUGACCAUGUGGAGCAGUUAUGUGACGUCUGCGUGUUGAUGAAGCAGAGGCGACUCCCCUUUCCCCAGCGGGCGAGCUUCCGUGCCAAGGAGAGGCUCGAGCUUGUGCACGGGGACUUGUGCAGCCCGGUGACCCCGGCCACACCGGGAGGACGACGCUACUUCCUGCUGCUCGUCGACGACCUCUCCCGCUACAUGUGGGUGAGGGUCCUCGGCAGCAAGGGAGAAGCAGCGGACGCCAUUAGGCGCGCGCAGGUUGCUGCGGAGGCGGAGUGUGGCCGCAAGCUGCACGUGCUGCGUACCGACAAUGGCGGCGAAUUCAUGGUGACUGAAUUAGCGUCGUACUGCGCGGAUGAGGGCAUCCAGCGCCACUACUCCGCACCAUACAGCCCGCAGCAGAACAAUAUCAUCAAGCGGCGAAACCAGACAGUUGUGGGGAUGGCUCAGGCCCUUCUCAAGCAACAAGGUAUGCCGGCUAUUUUCUGGGGAGAGGCGGUGGUGACAGGCAUCUACAUCCUCAACCGCUCGCCUACUAAAGCACUCGACGGCAUGACGCCGUACGAGGCUUGGCAUGGGCGAAAGCCGGCGGUCUCUCACUUGCGGGUCUUCAGCUGCUGAAGCGACCGCCCCCGUACACGGGUUCGAUCUCUGUGCUUUAGUGCUGGUCCCUGGAUCGACUCACUAGCACACACAGUUUCAAGAUGUAAUAUCAUAGAACAAAGGUCUCAAUAUUACAGCGAAUCAUCCGGAAUUUAAAAGGUACUUACAACUCGCAUAACCUCACGGGUUAGCUGGAAAUAAAACAACUGUUUAGCAGCGGAAAGUGAAAGAUAUAAGGGCACAUCAACACCACGGUGAGAGCGUGUUGGAAUGUAAGCCCGUAACCCAAACAUGCAGAACGUACAUCUUACUCGUCGUCGGAGCUUCCUGCAUCAUUAAACGAUGCAGCCACUAGGGUCAAUACAUUGAAUGUAUUGGCAAGAUUCACUAGGAGUUAUAAUAGAACCUACCAAGUAUAUGCAGUAUUUGGCAAGGUGGAGUUCAGGCUAUUUGCGUGGAAGCAGAACAUAAAAUACCCUACUACAAAGGAAUGUUAUAAUAAUGUUAACUAAUGGACACGAGGUAGACACACCCAUGCUCCUAUUAACCUAGAGUACAUUGAUGUGGAUUCAUCAAGUGCCCCUACCCUGUUCAACCAUCCAUUUUAUUUAAGAAAUUGGAAUGAGUGAGACUUUCCUUACAGCUCCACAUCUAGUCGCUCAAAUUGUCCGUUGCCGGGGACACGGCUAAGUACUUAGUUUUUACGUUCUCGAGAGUUUGUACACAUUCCCCACAAGAAACCGACGUGUUAAUCCCUUGCUGUCCUUAGGGUAGAGUAGCAACGGCAUCGAUUACGAGAUUUUCAGAGGUAAUUCCCUAAACCACGAGAGAAUCACGCUCCCCCUACACGGCUACCUCAGUACAAUUCUUCGGGUUUAGGUUCAUACAACUUACUCUUGUCUCGCGAGAGCCCAUAUAGCAUUGUGGCUGUACUAGAAGCUUCUAAAUAGGAAACUAGUACAGUCUCAGUUACCCCAGGUGGCAUUCCACAUUUGCCACGUAGGCGCUCCCUGAAUCCACGGGAGAGACGUCCAUGGACGAUCCAUUCCUGAAUCCACAGGAACUCGACUCAGAGGGACCCAUAGAAAUGGACCUGACGCCGCUAAUUCUCAAAAUCCUCAAAGCAGCCCACCCAGGAUGGUUCAUUGAAUUGGUUGUUUUGCCUUACAUCUAGCAAAAAUAUUUCAUAUAGCCAAAGGCAUAACAAUAUCAUAAUGUAGUUAUUUUCCCCACGAUACUACCAUAGCUUAGCAUUCAACUACAAUCGAUGGCAAUUUGAUAGCAAGGUAAUGGCGAGGGUAAACUAGACUACCUGGGAUUUAUAACUAGCACAGAGGUACGAGCAAUAGUCCUAUUAAUGCAUCUCUACCAACAACACUAAUGCAUAAGUAUUUUAAAACAACAAUAAUAAUGGGAUAUGAUCAAAGUGAACUUGCCUUGUCCAAGGUUGUGGUAGUUCUCGCACUCUUCGCAACAACAAUGAUUACACUCCACACAAUCUAAAUUAAAAGGAACACACACAAUAAACACAACACUCAAUACAAAAUCAUGCCAUGAUGCAUAUGCUAUGAUGAUGCACAACGAAGGUUACUUCUAAAGUAAAAAGUUUCGUUUCUGUUUUAAAAAGUUUUUCAAAUGGUUUGGACGAAUUAUACAACAACAAAGUGCUAAUUAAUAUGUUUGAAACAAGGAUAGGUUGUAAAACAAAAGAUUGUGCGGCUUUUGCAACAUAGAGCAAUAUUUAACUUGCAUGCCAUGAUUAUACACAAAAUAAUUUCUUUUCUGGUCCCACUGGACAGAGAACAAGUUUAAUAAAUCUUAUAGCAAGAUAACAUGCUCAAAACUAUUUUGAAACAAUUCAUUUGAAAUUUAAACCAUAUUCAACCAUUCUGUAAAUAGCUACUGUCUAAGUUGUUCAAAACUAAAAUUAAACAGUGCCAAAAUAUUCUACACGUUGAGACGAUUUCAGAAAGGUGCGGAUCACAAUUUUUGGACAAACGGUUUGAAAGAUAUGAGGCUUUAAAGAUACAGGGGCUUUUCUGCAAAAGUGCAUUACUAAUUCGGCCGAAUUAAAAUAAACUUAAAAAAAAUGCUCUACCACGUGGCAGCGUGGGAUAGGCCGGAUCUAGGGUUCCGGCCGGCGGGGCUAGCUCGCCGGACGGCGGCGGCGGGCGGCGCGGGCAGGCGGCGCGGCGGCGCUCGGGCGGCUGGCGGCGCACGGGCGGCUGGAGCGUGCGCGGCGCGGCAGGCGGAGCGGCGCGUGCGGCUCGGGGCGGUUGCUGGCACGGGCGACGGCGCGGGGCUAAGCGGCGGCGCGGGCGCACGGGCAGGCGGGCUCGCAGGCGCGGCGACGGCAGGCGGCGCGCGGGCGCGCGGGGCGGCACGUGGCGCAGGGCGCGGGCGGACGCGGGGGGGCACGCGCGUGCAGGCGGGCGGCGCAGGGCGGCUCGGGCGGCCGGAGUCGGGGAAGAACAUGGGCGGCGCGGCCAAACUCAAAAGCGACUGCGUCACGGUGUUCGCGCUGGAGAGGGGAGGAAGGAGAUGGGGUCGGCGCGGGCGGAAGCUCACCGGAAAGAUGGAGAAUCGCGAAGAACGGCGACGACCGCAACGAACUCCGGCGAGCAAUUAAUCUCUAACCGGUGCGAAAUUGAUCGUGGGGUUUGGGGGAAGUGGUAGAGGAGUUCGGGGGCUUCGAUAUGAAAUGCGG